rnacentral:tRNA from 2 species
UCCCCUUUAGCUCAGUUGGUAGAGCAGGUGACUGUUAAUCACCUUGUCCGUGGUUCGAGUCCGCGAAGGGGAGCCA